UGACCAGCAACUCCUAUCUCUACCUCCUCGUGGUACUGGACGGGUUACGAGUAGCCUUAGAGAUGAUCAGGUGAUCAACCCCGGUGGGAACUUUGAUCGUAUGCUGACAGGGACGG
rnacentral:ribozyme from 1 species